CUUACAUGAAACCUCUUCAACAAAAUCCUCACACCACCAAUUCCUCCUCUUUGUCAGCAACACCAAAAACUUAGCCAUCACUGCAGCCCUCAUUGCUCCUCCGCUGUCGGCCUACCGCUCUUCUUCUUUAGUAUAUCUCCUUUUCUAUAUUGUUUUUCCCGAUUUUUUUGGGAGUCAGAGAUAAUGAAGUUUUUGGUGGAGCUUUAAUAUUUCUGGAGUCCUGCUAUGCUCGUACUUCAGGUUCGAGCUGCUACAUAGAAAUGAGAAUCCGAGCGACAACCCGAAUUCAUAAAUCUAUAGUCGGUGUGGCGAUGAAGGAGUUGUUACUAUAAUGCAAAAAUAAAUUAGUGUAAGUCAUAAUUAGUCAUGUUUUUCAUUUUAUGUUUGAAAGAGUCAAUGGUUGUUAUUUUGUGCCUUGUUUUAUGCUUCUCUUUAGGAGUAUCUUUUUGUUUGCUUUCCUUUGUGUAUAUAAAAGUUCUCAGCUAAAUAAAAACUGUGCACAAAAACUUCCUACAUUUUUGUACCUUCCAGUCAUUUGAUUUAAUUCCUCUUAGAGUAAUUUCUGGUUUUCUUGCUAUUUCAUACUCUGUCUUUUUUAACAUCUGGCAUCACAGCUUGGUCUCUAGCUUGAGAAGAUCCAAGUUAUUAUUUAAUGGCAAACAACAGUGCUGGGAUUAAACUUGCCUACAAUUCUAUUUUUUAAAGGCAUUGAAUAUGAUGUCUGGAGCACAAAUAUGAAGACUUUGUUCAUCUCCCAAGCUCUAUAGGAAUUGAUAUAGAGAGGAUAUGUAGAAGAAGGUGUGCCAACUGAAUCUUUAAAAGAUGUUCGAAAGAGAGAUGCCAAAGCUCUCUUUUUCAUCCAACAAGCAGUGGAUGAGACAAUCUUCCCUCUAGUUUCAGCGGCAACAAAAUCAAAGGAAGCAUGGGAUGCACUCAAGAAUGGCGACCAAGGAACUGCUAAGGUGGAUAAUGUCAAACUGCAGACACUUCAUAGGAAAUUUGAAAGCUCCUUCAUGAAAGAUACAGAUUCUAUAGAUGACUACUUUAACAAUUUGAUGGAAGUAGUGAAUAAAAUUAGGUAAUAUGGUGAAGAACUAUCUGAUCAAAAGGUUGUUGAGAAAAUUUUGAGGAGCUUACCAAGAAAAUAUGAGUCUACAACGGACGCCAUAGAAGAAUCUAAGGAUCUAACAGUGCUCACGAUUGAUGAGUUGCUGGUUCUCUACAAUCUCAUGAAGAUAGACAGAGAAGUUGUGAAGAAAGAAAUGUUGAGAAGGCAUUCCACACCCAAUUGCACUUGUCCAAAGACAAUGACAGAUUACAAGAACGCAGAAGCAACAUCAGUCGUGAAGGCUAUUCCUUUCAAGGAAAAAGAGGUGGACAAGGCUACAGAGGAGGUGCUCGGGUAAUGGACCGUAACCAGUAUCAUAAUACAACCAGCAAUAAAGGUGAUGCUAACAACCGUAAGUUCCAAUGUUAUUAUUGUAACAAGUAUGCCCAUAUAGAAAAGUUUUGUAAUUUGAAAGAAAAGCAAGCAAAUUUUGUUGAGCAAGAAAACAAAGAAGAAUGUGAAAGUUUGUUUCUUGCAUGCUAUGCUACCUCUACUUUGUGAUUCAAAUGUUUGGUAUAUGGAUAGUGGGUGUAGCCAACACAUGACAGCAAACUUGGAGGCUUUCAUCAGUUUGGACAGGUCAGCAAAGAAUAGAGUAAAAAUGGGUGAUGGAAUGAUUUAUGAAGCACAAGGAAAUGAUAUUGUAAAGAUUUAUUCUUGUGAAACCAGCUAUAUUAGAUAUGUUCUCUAUGCCCCUGGCCUGGAUUUAAAUCUGCUAAGUGUUGGACAAAUUUUAAAAGAAGGUUACUUAUUUCUCUUCAAAGAUUUCUCUUGUUUUUAGACAAGACAAAGAAGAACAUGUAGUUCAGAGUUCCUAUGGCUAAGAAUAAUUUGUUUCCUCUCACUCUUGAUGAUGAAAAGAAAGCACUUUCAACCUUAUUAAAAGAUGAC
rnacentral:lncRNA from 1 species